rnacentral:rRNA from 1 species
GUGGGGAAUCUUGCGCAAUGGGCGAAAGCCUGACGCAGCCAUGCCGCGUGAAUGAUGAAGGUCUUAGGAUUGUAAAAUUCUUUCACCGGGGACGAUAAUGACGGUACCCGGAGAAGAAGCCACGGCUAACUCUGUGCCAGCAGCCGCGGUAAUACAGAGGUGGCGAGCGUUGUUCGGAUUUACUGGGCGUAAAGGGCGCGUAGGCGGCCGCGUGUGUGGGGUGUGAAAUCUCCGGGCUCAACCCGGAAAGUGCGCCCCAAACUGCGCGGCUGGAGUGCGGGAGUGGAGAUCGGAAUGCAGGGUGUAGCGGUGAAAUGCGUUGAUAUCCUGCAGAACACCGGUGGCGAAGGCGGAUCUCUGGAACGCAACUGACGCUGAGGCGCGAAAGUCGGGGGAGCAAACAGGAUUAGAAACCCUUGUAGUCC